ACUCCCCAGCCGCCCCUCUGAAGUGUUCCGGUGUCACCGUGGCCACAAGGAGGCAGGGGACGGGGGCUUCCUGAAGGAGGCCCCCUAAGGGGAAGGGGGCUACAAGGCUGGCCAGAGUGCUGGCCGCGCGGCUGUGCACAGGGCCUUGAGCCCCUCCGGUCGUCAAGCCUUGCUUGAAAUGCGUAAAUGCGGAAAGGGUCGUGCAACCAACAGCACCCUCCACCUGCAGAAAUCGUCACCUGGCAAAACGGAAACUCUACCCACUAUGCACUAACUCCUCUUUCCCUCUCCUCCGGGCCCUGGCAACCGCCAUUCUACCUUUCGUCUCUGUGGUCUUGACUAUUCUAUGUACUGCAAAUAAAUAGAGUCACACAG
rnacentral:lncRNA from 1 species